UGCAGGCCCGGCCCGCACAACAGAGGCUGUAUGCGAGAGGAAUGGAAAUGAGCCUCAGGCCCUGCCGAAGGAGCCCCAUCCCCUUCCCCGCGCGGGGCUGAGGAAUGCUGGCCAGCCGGAAAGGAACCCUCGCUGGGAACGCCGCUCUCGCGCCUCUGAAACCCCAUUGAGAAGAACCCUUUGAUGCAAUUAAAGCGCAUUUCAUUGCAGGCCUGGGAGGAGGGAACGACCGGCAAGCUUUUUUCUGUCUCGGACGUGUGUAUGCACCUUUGUGGGCCGGGUUACUUAGAGACCAGGCGGGAACUUGAGCUCCCUCUCUCGCAGACGUUCUGUAACAUCAGAAAAGCGUACCCAUAAACAGAUUGGUUUUCACCAGGGGUGGAACUCAAUUUGGACACGAUCCAGGCUGACCUGCAGGCCGGGGUUCCUACUUUGAAAGGCUCUUUGGUGCGCCUUACACCCACCUUCCCUGCUGUAAAGGUUUAGGCGGAAAAGAAAUUGCGUUUGCAGGAGGAAGUUGUUUCUGAGGUUACUGCUCAGCAUUUUCCAUUUUCUCAGUGGUGGGGUGGGCCGUGUCGCAUAUCCAGAAGUGAUGUCACAGCCAGACCUGCAAAAUGAUGUAACCUGCAAGUGUUGAAGGACGACGAUGGGACAGCUAUUUUGAUACUCGUAUUAUUUUAUAACAUUUCCCUGCUUUUUCCAUUGAGACAACUGUGUGACCUCAGAAAAUCCACAUAGCCUCUCUGAACUUAGUAUUUUUGUGUGUGUGUUAAAAUGAGUAUCACAAAGCCGGAGAACGAAUGUGAUGAAGUUCUGGGUGCUUGUGGAAUUCUUUCUAAGUUGGAGGUGGACACUUUAUCUACCUGCACAGGUGGAAGAUAUGUGGGUCUGGAACUCCGUGUAUGCCUCCUUGAGAACAUGAACCUUUAAACAACAACAACAACAAUAACAACACGAAGACAAAGUCCUGUCUGCUCUCCCAGGCUAGAGUGCAGCGUGCAAUCGUGCAAUCGCAGCCUACAGUAAGGUAGAAUUCCUGGCCUCAAGCUAUCCUCCUGCCCCACCGUGGCCUCCUGAAGGGCUCCGAUUACAGGAGGGAGCCACUGCACCCAGCCAAACCUGUCUUUUAUUCUGUAUCUCCUGUGCCCAGAGCAGUCCCUGGCCCUGAUAAGGGUUCAACAAAUAUGUUGAGUGAAUGAACAAAUACAUUCAGGAGUGUAGGGAUUGAUACUAACUUGUUGGCUGUUUUCUGUUCCUUAUAAAUCUAAAUAAGAAAUAGGGAGAGCAUGGUAGGUAUUUGGGGUCCUCGGCGAGGCGUAAGUUCAGGAGAAGUUUGAAGGAAAGGGUAGGAAAACAUUUUUGAGAGCACAAACAUGCUACAAGUGUUUCCUGAAAUGCCCCAAAGAAGAGUGCAGCACUCAGGUGGAGGAGUCAUUUUUUCCAACUGAGUGGAUGGUUAAUACUGGCAAACAUGAAUCAUGUUUUAUAUUCAUAA
ensembl:lncRNA LINC01852 long intergenic non-protein coding RNA 1852